GUUUGAUCCUGGCUCAGAACGAACGUUAGCGGCGCGCCUAACACAUGCAAGUCGAGCGAGAAAGGGGCAACCCCGGUAAAGCGGCGCACGGGUGAGUAACACGUAGGUAAUCUACCCCUCGGGUGGAGGAUAACUUUCCGAAAGGAAGGCUAAUACUGCAUGAGACCACGAUUCCGGAAGGGAUUGAGGUCAAAGCCGGCCACUGUACACAAGCUGGCGCCUGAGGAUGAGCCUGCGGCCCAUCAGCUAGUUGGUAGGGUAAUGGCCUACCAAGGCGAAGACGGGUAGCUGGUCUGAGAGGAUGAUCAGCCACACUGGAACUGAGACACGGUCCAGACUCCUACGGGAGGCAGCAGUGGGGAAUCUUGCGCAAUGGGCGAAAGCCUGACGCAGCGACGCCGCGUGAGUGAUGAAGGCCUCGGUGUAAG
rnacentral:rRNA from 1 species